CGCAGGGUAGAUCAGUGGCAGAUCGCAGGACUCAUAAUCCAGAGGUCGCCGGUUCGAGUCCGGCCCCUGCAACCA
rnacentral:tRNA from 1 species